CCUUGUAGUCUUUUCCGGAGCGAUGAUGUUUCUGAUUUUGAGGGCAUCGAGACAAGUUCAGCCGAUUCAUUCCGUCGUCAAAAAUUAAAUCAGUGGGUAAUGUGAAUCGAAGGUAACGGAAGAAUCUUUGUUGACUUUCUCAGUUUUGCAUUAGACAACAUUUUUGGGUUUGGUUUUUGUGUACUGUUGUUGUCUUUUGCCAAUAAGUACGGACUAAGAUAAUCUUAAAUUAGUCAUUCUUCCCUUUGUUAUCUUCCUGUUUCUUACAAGGUUUUGAAAACGACCCAAUCAAAACAUAUUUUUAAAUACUACAACUAUCUACAGGUAAUAUGUUCUAAUUUCUAAUCCACUUCAUAUUGAAAAUAAUAUUUGUUUUGCAGAUUGGAUUCAUAUUAUUCAACAAGACUUUGAGUUAAAGUCAGUGAGAUGCUGCUAAGCUUCAGUGAUAGUUGGAGGAGCUGAUCUGCCAUCCCCUGAUACUUAGGUAAUUCAGUGAUAGUUUAUAUAUACAUUUGCAGAACACAAGUGCUUCAGUCACAAGUCAUGUUUCUGUUUCAAGCAAUAAGAAUACGUUAUGAUGCAGCAGGUAUCUAGUCCUUUUAUCCAAGAAACUUACAAGAUGCAAGGUUGUUAGUAGCAUGUUUUGCUGUGAUAUGCUCUUCUUUACUAGCCAUGGUGGAUUUUCACAUGUUCUACUUAUUUGUCAUUACCAUUUUAGUUUAGCUUACAAAACUGUCCAAAUAGCAGCCAUCUGGACCACUAUGAUUCACCUAAUACCUUACAUCCGAGAGUUUAGUCAAAAGAUUUUUUGAAACGAUCUAUCUGCCCA
rnacentral:lncRNA from 1 species